AUUGAACGCUGGCGACAUGCCUUACACAUGCAAGUCGAACGGCAGCACGGGUGCUUGCACCUGGUGGCGAGUGGCGAACGGGUGAGUAAUACAUCGGAACAUGUCCUGUAGUGGGGGAUAGCCCGGCGAAAGCCGGAUUAAUACCGCAUACGAUCUACGGAUGAAAGCGGGGGACCUUCGGGCCUCGCGCUAUAGGGUUGGCCGAUGGCUGAUUAGCUAGUUGGUGGGGUAAAGGCCUACCAAGGCGACGAUCAGUAGCUGGUCGGAGAGGACGACCACCCACACGGGAACGGAGACAGGCCCAAGACCCCGAGGGGGGCACACGGGGGGGAUUUUGGACGAAGGGCCGAAGGCGUGACCCAGAAAGCGCGGGGGUGGGAAGAGGGCCUUGGGUUGUGAAGGCAUUUUUGCCGGGAAAAAAGCCGUGGCCCCUAAUCAGGGGGGGGAAUGACGGUACGGAAAAAAAAAGCCCCGGCUAACUACGUG
rnacentral:rRNA from 1 species